rnacentral:piRNA from 1 species
UUUGUGGCGAAAAACCUCUUGUUGGAGGCCU